rnacentral:rRNA from 1 species
UACGUAGGGUGCGAGCGUUGUCCGGAAUUACUGGGCGUAAAGAGCUCGUAGGUGGUUUGUCGCGUUGUUCGUGAAAACUCACAGCUUAACUGUGGGCGUGCGGGCGAUACGGGCAGACUGGAGUACUGCAGGGGAGACUGGAAUUCCUGGUGUAGCGGUGGAAUGCGCAGAUAUCAGGAGGAACACCGGUGGCGAAGGCGGGUCUCUGGGCAGUAACUGACGCUGAGGAGCGAAAGCGUGGGGGAGCGAACAGGA